rnacentral:rRNA from 1 species
UCAUUAAAUCAGUUAUCGUUUAUUUGAUAGUACCUUACUACUUGGAUAACCGUGGUAAUUCUAGAGCUAAUACAUGCUAAAAACCUCGACUUCGGAAGGGGUGUAUUUAUUAGAUAAAAAACCAAUGCCCUUCGGGGCUCCCUGGUGAUUCAUAAUAACUUAACGAAUCGCAUGGCCUUGUGCCGGCGAUGGUUCAUUCAAAUUUCUGCCCUAUCAACUUUCGAUUGUUGGGUCUUGGCCAACAAUGGUUUCAACGGGUAACGGGGAAUUAGGGUUCUAUUCCGGAGAGGGAGCCUGAGAAACGGCUACCACAUCCAAGGAAGGCAGCAGGCGCGCAAAUUACCCAAUCCUGAUACAGGGAGGUAGUGACAAUAAAUACUGAUACAGGGCUCUUUUGGGUCUUGUAAUUGGAAUGAGUACAAUUUAAAUCCCUUAACGAGGAACAAUUGGAGGGCAAGUCUGGUGCCAGCAGCCGCGGUAAUUCCAGCUCCAAUAGCGUAUAUUAAAGUUGUUGCAGUUAAAAAGCUCGUAGUUGAACCUUGGGCCUGGCUGGCCGGUCCGCCUCACCGCGUGCACUGGUCCGGCCGGGCCUUUCCUCCUGGGGAGCCGCAUGUCCUUCACUGGGUGUGUCGGGGAACCAGGACUUUUACUUUGAAAAAAUUAGAGUGUUCAAAGCAGGCCUAUGCUCGAAUACAUUAGCAUGGAAUAAUAGAAUAGGACGUGUGGUUCUAUUUUGUUGGUUUCUAGGACCGCCGUAAUGAUUAAUAGGGACAGUUGGGGGCAUCAGUAUUUAAUUGUCAGAGGUGAAAUUCUUGGAUUUAUUAAAGACUAACUACUGCGAAAGCAUUUGCCAAAGAUGUUUUCAUUAAUCAGUGAACGAAAGUUAGGGGAUCGAAGACGAUCAGAUACCGUCGUAGUCUUAACCAUAAACUAUGCCGACUAGGGAUCGGGCGAUGUUAUCUUUUUGACUCGCUCGGCACCUUACGAGAAAUCAAAGUCUUUGGUCUGG